UCCAACACUGGCAGGUAGGUCUGGUUCAGCCUCCUAUAGGGUCACUGCUCCUUCCCCUGGGUCCCAAUGCACACACUACUUUGUGUGUGCCCUCCAAGAUUUGAGUCUCUGUUCCCCCCAGUCCUGUAGAAGUCCUGCAAUCAAAUCUCGCUAGCCUUCAAAUUCUGAUUCUCUAGGAAUUCCUCCUCCCAGGUCCUUUGUCAG